AUUUGGUGAGAAAUAAGUGAGUUUUCCGGACACCAGAGGUCAGGCUGUAAAUGAGGGACUUUGUCCUGUGUGACAGGAGUGUCUUGUGAGUGAUGCUCCAGUUCACACUGCAGAGCGAAACAGAAGGAAAUGAGGAGCGCAAGACUGAUCACUCAAGAUGAGCUUAACCUUGAGAAGAAGCCAAUCUCUUAAGAGCCUCUCUGGAGGUCAUAGUUCAUGGUUUUGGGACAGAAGGACACCUGUUUCUCAGCUUGUUGAAAGGUAUGAGAGCUGUGUGGAUCUCACAGAUAUUGACAGAGAAGAGGCAUAUUCCAAGUCAUCCGGCCUGAGAAGAUCAAACCAUGAAGAGAAUAAAGUUGAAAAUCUCUGGAGGAGAUACGAAUCCCUCAGUGGGACAAAUAACACUUUGUCCAGAAGUAUUUCAAUGGACAUGCUGCCCCAGCCAGACCUGGUGGGCCCUAAAGCUCAGAGGGUCUUGUCUGAGUCAAAGAAGUAUGCAAGCAGCCCUCGGCUCAACGUCACACCACAGACCAAAAGCAGCCCAAUGAGUCCCAGUACCUCACAGUGGAGGGAGGCACCGACGGGGUGGGAGAAAGUCUAUUCUGGUGCCACUACUGUCACCAGCGCCAAAAAGGACAAGGCUCAUCAGAAAGAAAAAACCUUCAAUGAGCCAAUGAGAAGAAGGACAAUCAGUGGGGUUCCUGGAUGUGUCACCCGAUCCUCCACUGGACCGAAUGGUAAGUUGAUUAACACAUUAUAAAUACACCUAAUUAUUUGUACAACUAGUGUAAAUGAGGGAGAAUAUAUUUGCCAGUUAUUUCUUCUAGGCUCAGCUGUGAUGCAGGCAGUAACCGUGAGGUCAAAGGUCAUGUGAACUUUAUGCACUAUGUGAGACAAAACCUUGGCAUCUAAAGUCUUCCUACACAAGCAUGCGAUGCCAGCUGUCUGUGUUAAAAAUAUUCCUCAAAUAAUCCUAACAGAAUAGUUUCGAUUUAACGUCACAGACAAAAUCCUGUCUGCAAAGAGUGAGUCGUAUUUCACAGGUUUUCAAUGAGGGCCGAG
rnacentral:lncRNA from 1 species